ACGACUCUCGGCAACGGAUAUCUCGGCUCUCGCAUCGAUGAAGAACGUAGCGAAAUGCGAUACCUGGUGUGAAUUGCAGAAUCCCGCGAACCAUCGAGUCUUCGAACGCAAGUUGCGCCCGAGGCCACUCGGCCGAGGGCACGCCUGCCUGGGCGUCACGC
rnacentral:rRNA from 1 species